CAAUGUCAUCAACACUGCACUGAAGACCAGCGGAUGACCGAUCUGAUUCCCAAAUCCUACCUUUCUGGAGUCAUUUCCAGUCUGUAUCAGUCUGGGUCCAAUCGAGAGACAGAAACCACACCAUGAUUUUAAAAGGGCAACCCCAAGCCUAAGCACAAUGAAGAUCUGUUAUGGACUGAGUGUUUGUGACCUCCUCUCGCUAAUUUAUAUAUUGGAGACCUAACCUCUAAGGAACAUGGAGAAAAAGCCACGUGAGGACACAGAGAGAAAGCAGCCAGCCAUCUGCAAGCCAGGAAGGAGUUCUUACCAGGAACUGAACCCUGUCUAACUUUGAUCUCGGACUCCCCAGCCUCUGGAACCAUGAGAAAAUCAGUGUCUGUUUGAGUCUCCUGGUCUAUGACAGUGUGUUAUGGCCACCCAAGCAGAUAGAAUCCGUGUAUGGCCAUUAAGACCCAAUCAGGACUCUUUUAUCAGUCUUCGCUCCAGAGCUCUUCAUCAGGCUGAUUAAGACUUCAUCAGCACCCCAACCUUUGAAAACCACUGCUGGAGGGGUUGACGAUGAGCCCCUACCGUCAGGAUGAAGAAACCAGGCCUUAGAGAAGCUGGAUAGCAAGGUUACACUACAGACAAGCAGCAGUUUUAGUCCUCCAUAAAUAUUGUCACUGAAAACAGACCCCAAAUUAGAAAAAGUUGGGAACCAGGAUUAUCAGGAAUGCAUGAGGCACAAUGCAAAGACAGGACAAAAAAGAUGAUGUAAGAGAAAACACUGGAAAAAAAGGAAGAGCUCUGAGAAGAACUCCUUAUGUGAAAAAAAAUUGCAUGCAAGCUACAACCAUCUUAUUUAUUAUCCACAAGGAACUGUUCAUCCUGUUACCUGUGUGUGUGACCCCACAUUACUAGAAAUGACAUAAGAGAAGAUGAGGACCACAUUUGAUAUUUCUCUAUAUUAGCUCUAAGCACAGUGCUUCAGAAAUGUGUCCUAUCCAUCUUGUGUCCCUAGGACCUAACAUGUGGGGAACAGGCCUCUGAGGAUUGCCUACAGCUUUGAUGGGCUCUAUGUGUUUUUUCAGCUCAGGACUAUCGGAGAAAGGCUAUUCUUUCCACAGAGAUCAGAAGCUCAAGAGGACCAAGCAAACCAUGCAAGCAUAUUAGUACCUCUUCAAGGAUGGGGUGUAUGUCACAUCUGCUCGUAUUCCAUUGGUUAAAGCAAGCUACAUGGCCAAGCCCUUGAUCAAUGUGGUGGGGAAGUAUAUGCCUUUCCUACAUGGGAGAGGUGAGGGAGGAAAAAUUGGGGGUUAAGCACUAGUUGAAAAGUAAUAUAUUCUGUCUGAAGAAGCCAAGUCAUACCCGUGAGUUGCAAAAAAGAGUUAAAUACUAAAAUAUCAUUGCAGAUUUAAGGAAAAUUUUAGUAUUUCUUUGGAGAACUACUUAUAAAGGACGUGACUGUUUGGCAGCCAGACUGGAAGUUUAGAGAAAGUGAUCUGCUACAUUAAUUAAAUCUAAGAAAGUACAGAAUAAAACAUACUAAUUUCUUUCUGGGGUUUCCUUAGCACUGAUGCUUAUCUCUAUCAUUUUACAUAUCACUAUGCUUUCUGAUUGUUCAUUUCUGAAGACGAAGCAGUAUCUAUUAUCUUGGCAUACCCAAGGCCUAGUAAAAGCCUUGGCAUCAAAAAAGCACUUAAUAAAACGUCUUUUGAAUGACUAAGUGAAUCCAUGUA